rnacentral:rRNA from 1 species
GGACCAGACUCCUACGGGAGGCAGCAGUGGGGAAUAUUGCACAAUGGGGGGAACCCUGAUGCAGCGACGCCGCGUGGGUGAAGGAGUACUUCGGUACGUAAAGCUCUAUCAGCAGGGAAGAAAAUGACGGUACCUGACUAAGAAGCCCCGGCUAACUACGUGCCAGCAGCCGCGGUAAAACGUAGGGUGCAAGCGUUGUCCGGAAUUACUGGGUGUAAAGGGAGCGCAGGCGGAUUGACAAGUUGGGAGUGAAAACUACGGGCUCAACCCGUAACCUGCUUUCAAAACUGUCAGUCUUGAGUGGUGUAGAGGUAAGUGGAAUUCCUAGUGUAGCGGUGAAAUGCGUAGAUAUUAGGAGGAACACCAGUGGCGAAGGCGGCUUACUGGACUGUAACUGACGUUGAGGCUCGAAAGCGUGGGGAGCAAACAGGAUUAGAUACCCGAGUAU